UACGUAGGGUGCGAGCGUUAAUCGGAAUUACUGGGCGUAAAGCGUGCGCAGGCGGUGAUGUAAGACAGUUGUGAAAUCCCCGGGCUCAACCUGGGAACUGCAUCUGUGACUGCAUUGCUGGAGUGCGGCAGAGGGGGAUGGAAUUCCGCGUGUAGCAGUGAAAUGCGUAGAUAUGCGGAGGAACACCGAUGGCGAAGGCAGCCCCCUGGGUCAAAACUGACGCUCAUGCACGAAAGCGUGGGGAGCAAACAGG
rnacentral:rRNA from 1 species